UAGUAACGGCGAGUGAAGCGGGAACAGCUCAAAUUUGAAAUCUGGCCCUUGGGUCCGAGUUGUAAUUUGCAGAGGAUGCUUUUGGUGCGGUGCCUUCCGAGUUCCCUGGAACGGGACGCCUUAGAGGGUGAGAGCCCCGUACGGUUGGCCACCAAGCCUGUGUAAAGCUCCUUCGACGAGUCGAGUAGUUUGGGAAUGCUGCUCAAAAUGGGAGGUAUAUUUCUUCUAAAGCUAAAUACUGGCCAGAGACCGAUAGCGCACAAGUAGAGUGAUCGAAAGAUGAAAAGCACUUUGAAAAGAGGGUUAAAUAGCACGUGAAAUUGUUGAAAGGGAAGGAUUUAUGACCAGACUUUUUCUAGGGGGAUCAUCCGGUGUUCUCACCGGUGCACUUCCCCUAGUUGAGGCCAGCAUCGGUUUCUGUCGGGGGAUAAAAGCUUCAGGAAUGUGGCUCCCUUCGGGGAGUGUUAUAGCCUGUUGCAUAAUACCCUGACGGGGACCGAGGUUCGCGCAUUGCAAGGAUGCUGGCGUAAUGGUUAUUAAUCACCCGUCUUGAAACACGGACCAAGGAGUCGAACAUUUGUGCGAGUGUUUGGGUGUUAAACCCUCACGCGUAAUGAAAGUGAACGGAGGUGAGAGCCUUUCGGGGUGCAUCAUCGACCGAUCCUGAUGUCUUCGGAUGGAUUUGAGUAAGAGCAUAACUGUUCGGACCCGAAAGAUGGUGAACUAUGCGUGGAUAGGGUGAAGCCAGAGGAAACUCUGGUGGAGGCUCGCAGC
rnacentral:rRNA from 1 species